rnacentral:rRNA from 1 species
GAACCGAGCGAACGUUGUUCGGAAUCACUGGGCUUAAAGGGCGCGUAGGCGGGUACGCAAGUCUGUGGUGAAAUCCCCCGGCCCAACCGGGGAACUGCCGUGGAUACUGCGUGUCUAGAGCGAGGUAGGGGCGUGCGGAACAGAUGGUGGAGCGGUGAAAUGCGUUGAUAUCAUCUGGAACUCCGGUGGCGAAGGCGGCACGCUGGACCUUUUCUGACGCUGAGUGCGCGAAAGCCAGGGGAGCAAACGGGAUUAGAUACCCCGGUAGUCCUGGCCCUAAACGAUGGGCACUAGGUAGUAGCCUUCACAUGGGGUUACUGCCGGAGCAAAAGUGCUAAGUGCCCCGCCUGGGGAGUAUGGUCGCAAGGCUGAA